CCUACGGGUGGCUGCAGUGGGGAAUAUUGGACAAUGGGCGAAAGCCUGAUCCAGCCAUGCCGCGUGUGUGAAGAAGGCCUUCGGGUUGUAAAGCACUUUCAGUGGGGAAGAAAGCCUUGGGGCUAAUACCCUCGAGGAAGGACAUCACCCACAGAAGAAGCACCGGCUAACUCCGUGCCAGCAGCCGCGGUAAUACGGAGGGUGCGAGCGUUAAUCGGAAUUACUGGGCGUAAAGCGCGCGUAGGCGGUCUGAUAAGCCGGUUGUGAAAGCCCCGGGCUCAACCUGGGAACGGCAUCCGGAACUGUCAGGCUAGAGUGCAGGAGAGGAAGGUAGAAUUCCCGGUGUAGCGGUGAAAUGCGUAGAGAUCGGGAGGAAUACCAGUGGCGAAGGCGGCCUCCUGGACUGACACUGACGCUGAGGUGCGAAAGCGUGGGUAGCAAACAGGAUUAGAUACCCCUGUAGUC
rnacentral:rRNA from 1 species